CCAUGGCCUGAGGCCUCUGGGAACAUGCGCGGCGAGGGGACGGGCGGGGCGAGUCCGGGAAGGGGCGGGGCCGCAGGCGCGCCCCUGACUUCCAGCGCCUGCGGGUGAGACCGCCUACCCUCGCCGGGCGCGCUUGAGCAUGCAAGGGGAGGUGGGAUUCCCCUGGCCCGCCCCCAAGCCACGCCUCUGGCGUAUGAGAACUGAGCUGUCCCGCAGGGACCGAGAGAGGAGCCUCCGCUUUCGCAGGGGCUGGGUGUUCCGGGCGCACUGCGCCCUCUGUUGAUCCUCUUAGGAGCUGCGUGGGGACCGUCGGGCCUGCCGUUUCGCACCUGGCCGAAAGGGGACGCUGUGCCGGGCCAGAUCCUAUGUAAAUUUAGCUGGAUAAUCUCAGCAAGAGAAAAUUGGCUGCAGUGCAAAGAAGCCAGGCUCAAAACGCUGGGUUAUCCCAUUUAUAUGACAUGUCACAGAAAACCUGCAGACUCCUGCCUUUCUGUGAAGAGUUCGUGUCCACUGUCAUCGUGGGGUGAGCUGUGAUUCUGCCUUCUGCUCUGGCCUCAGUCCCCAAGCACCCAGCACUGUGUUCGGAAUCGGUGGCUUGGUCGUCCUUCUCUCCUUGCCGCCCACCAAAGAGCCACUCCCCAGCCUCAACACCAUCUUCCAUCUUUACAGAAUACCCAGGGUCAUCCCAGGGAAACUGAGGACCCCAAUUUUUCAUCGCAACACCACACACAAGCUGAGGGAGCAACUGUGCUCACACACACCCAGUCCGCUUUGGGGGGCCCAAGGAGCCCCCCUACUAUAGAUGCGGUAGCCCUGCCCUGGUCUUCAGGCCAGCCCACACCCAGGAGACUCAGAAUCUAAAAAACAAAGUACAAACUUUAUUUUGUUUCUUUACAAAGGCACGGUGGCCUCUUGGUUUUUUUCUCCCCACUUUCUUAACAAAAUAUAAUAGCUUCUCCUUGAACACGAAGACCUCAAAAUUGU